rnacentral:lncRNA from 1 species
GUUGUCCUAAGUAUCUGCUGGCUCUCCCGAUCUCUUCCUUUAAGACAUCUGGAGAAGAAGCCUUGCGCUGGGCAGCGUCGGCUGGAGAGAUGUGAGAGAGCCGCAGUCCCGCAACCGCAUCUCCGGAGUGACUCUUGGCUCGUCCCAACGGCAGCAGCAGCAGCAGCAGCAGCAGCAGGAGGCAGGAGACGGACGCGUGUGGCAGGAGCAAAUGGACUGCUGAAUACCUCACUGAUCGUGAGACCAAAGGCUUGUCAAAAAAAUGGAAGAGAUGAUAAUGAAAAAAGGUAUCUGCUGCCACUGUCCUGGAGAAAAGAUGUAGGCUCACCACAACACCUGACUUCAAAGCAAGACUUUGGUCCAUGGCAUCAUUCUUCACAACUAACAGCAGUGAAACUUGAGUAUCAAAGAUGCAGGCAAGCACUUCGUCAAAAUCUCUGGGCUACAAAUCUGUCUAUCAGAGGGGCUUUAAAAGCUACCAGAGUGCCAUAGUACCAGAGAAGGAGAUGGGAGACAAAUUUUCAUAGCACGGUCCUCAGCCCUUUGCAGGUUGACCCCAGCUCAAUCCACUUCCUAGCAAUCAUCCAAAAGCCUAUGGCUUAAUGCUGGCAAGGUACAUUGUAUAAUUUCUCUAGUUCCAGAGGCUGAGUGGAGAAGAAUAAGGUUUCCUUAGGUGUGUUUUUGUUGUGUGCUAUCCCUAUAACCUUUGAACUGGAACAUUACUGCUGCUAUCAAAUUCAAGGUUUCAUACAAUUUUAUAGGAGACUCAGUAGCUAAGGAAUGCAUCUGUCUUGAAUUUCAAAGCCAGAAUGUAUUCCUAUGAUCAUAAUUACAAAAUGGAAGAGAACAGCCCUAUAAUGCAACUAACUCUUCUCCCAGAGUCAUCCUCAUACCCUUCCUGUCCUUAAAACCAACAAGUUGCUCAGCUAGCAGACAAUCCAUACUGCCACUGGCAAUGACUUUAUGCUUCACACUUGUGAGCUGAAAAACCUAUCUUUUACUGCUAAAUGUUGUUUGUAAAGGAGAAAUGAAUGCAGUUUAAAGCUAAAGCCACCAACAGUGUCAACUUACUUGUCCAGUUUCAGAUAGUUUCAAAAUAUCUGUGCCCACAAAUCUGGUAGCUGCACAGACACUGCAUAUAAUAAAAAAUAAAUAAUAACAAUAAAUAGAACA